rnacentral:rRNA from 1 species
UCUUGGUCAUUUAGAGGAAGUAAAAGUCGUAACAAGGUCUCCGUAGGUGAACCUGCGGAGGGAUCAUUACAAGUGACCCCCGGCUCCGGCCGGGGAUGUUCAUAACCCUUUAUUGUCCGACUCUGUUGCCUCCGGGGCGACCCUGCCUUUUCACGGGCGGGGGCCCCGGGUGGACACUUCAAACUCUUGCGUAACUUUGCAGUCUGAGUAAACUUAAUUAAUAAAUUAAAACUUUUAACAACGGAUCUCUUGGUUCUGGCAUCGAUGAAGAACGCAGCCCCCCCGUGCCCCCGCC